rnacentral:sRNA from 1 species
UUCAAGGGAGGUUCAACUAAAACCGUCACAUCGUGUGACAACGUUGAACUACCCUACGUCGUGUAGG